rnacentral:rRNA from 1 species
UGAGGAAUAUUGGUCAAUGGACGCAAGUCUGAACCAGCCAAGUAGCGUGCAGGAUGACGGCCCUAUGGGUUGUAAACUGCUUUUAUAUGGGGAUAAAGUGGGGAACGUGUUCCCUUUUGCAGGUACCAAAUGAAUAAGGACCGGCUAAUUCCGUGCCAGCAGCCGCGGUAAUACGGAAGGUUCGGGCGUUAUCCGGAUUUAUUGGGUUUAAAGGGAGCGUAGGCCCUUUGGUAAGCGUGUUGUGAAAUGUAGGAGCUCAACUUCUAGAUUGCAGCGCGAACUGUCAGACUUGAGUGCGCACAACGUAGGCGGAAUUCAUGGUGUAGCGGUGAAAUGCUUAGAUAUCAUGAAGAACUCCGAUUGCGAAGGCAGCUUACGGGAGCGCAACUGACGCUGAAGCUCGAAGGUGCGGGUAUCGAACAGG